rnacentral:tRNA from 1 species
GUUCUCGUAGUUGAAAUACAAUAAUGAUUUUUCAUGUCAUUGGUCAUGGUCAUAGUCCAUGCGAGAAUU